rnacentral:rRNA from 1 species
GGAUGACACUUUUCGGAGCGUAAACUCCUUUUAUCAGGAAAGAAUAAUGACGGUACCUGAUGAAUAAGCACCGGCUAACUCCGUGCCAGCAGCCGCGGUAAUACGGGGGGUGCAAGCGUUACUCGGAAUCACUGGGCGUAAAGGACGCGUAGGCGGAUUAUCAAGUCUUUUGUGAAAUCUAGUGGCUUAACCACUAAACUGCUUAGGAAACUGAUAGUCUAGAGUAGGGGAGGGGUAGAUGGAAUUCUUGGUGUAGGGGUAAAAUCCGUAGAGAUCAAGAAGAAUACCCAUUGCGAAAGCGAUCUGCUGGAACCUAACUGACGCUGAGGCGUGAAAGCGUGGGUAGCAAACAGGAUUAGAUACCCUGGUAGUCCACGCCCUAAACGAUGUAUACUAGUUGUUGCUUUGCUAGUCAAGGCAGUAAUGCAGCUAACGCAUUAAGUAUACCGCCUGGGGAGUACGGUCGCAAGAUUAAAACUCAAUGGAAUAGACGGGGACCCGCACAAGCGGUGGAGCAUGUGGUUUAAUUCGAAGAUACGCGAAGAACCUUACCUGGACUUGACAUCCUAAAAACAUCUAAGAGAUUAGAAAGUGCUAGUUUACUAGAAUUUAGUGACAGGUGCUGCACGGCUGUCGUCAGCUCGUGUCGUGAGAUGUUGGGUUAAGUCCCGCAACGAGCGCAACCCACGUGUUUAGUUGCUAACAGCUCGGCUGAGCACUCUAAACAGACUGCCUUCGUAAGGAGGAGGAAGGUGUGGACGACGUCAAGUCAUCAUGGCCCUUAUGUCCAGGGCGACACACGUGCUACAAUG